rnacentral:lncRNA from 10 species
CUUACUCCAGGGCACUUCAGUAUUCCUGAGGAAUAAACAUGAUUUCUCUUGUCCUCCCGCUGGGAUGUUCUCAGGUGAAGUCACUGCUCCUGCUCCUGUAAAGCAAGGACAUUCAGCUUAAAACUGUGCAGACGGCAUUCUGACAACCCUCUCUAAUUGCUGUAUCAGGUCAGACCCAAAGGGCCAGAAGCCAAAACCUUAUCACACUGUUUACGUUAAAACUGUCUCACAACAGGACUAUGUACACCCUACCUAGGUUCCUAAGAGUGCCAUCCAGCCCCAAUCUUCCAGGGAGAAGAGUGGGAAACGAGUGGAACAGGGCCAAACCAUCAUGACCUGGAUAACAAUUCCUAAAACCUGUCGAAGGCGUCCCAGGGGAGUGGGGAGAGCAUGGUUCUCAUCAGCCUACGAACUACAUGGCCUUGCCAAGUUUCUCAACCCCGGUAAGAGUCUGCUUUCUCAUCAGCUGAAUGAGGAUAGUAACAUCUCUCACAAAUCAACUGGCAGGUCUAGAGGGAAAGAUUAUUAAAGAUAAAGCACCCAGGAUGGUCCUGGGGGCAGAUUGGGCACUCAGGAGGCAGUUAUUACAAUAGGACUACACUGAAUAAGCCCAGGUUGGGAUUUUGCUCCAUUUUUCAGGGAAUGGAGGAUGACAACAUCGAGGCACAGACUCAAGUCCAGAUAAAGUUACAAGGCCAUUUUGGAGCAGGACACACAAAUGUAAAAAAUGGAACAAUAUUUUCCACAGGAACUCCCAGCCAUUAAAUACAUAAUAUGCAUAUAAUCACCCCUGAGCCAUUAUCCCUGACAACUCAGUUUGGAACAAUGGAAAUGUUUUAAGCAAAAGACCUGAAGCUUCUCUGUCUGCUCCUUUCGGUUCUCCCCACAAUCAGCUCUGAUGCCAGGAAAGCGAGGAGCCAGGGAGUGGUGGAAAAGGCCGGCUGCCGGCUUCAGUGCCACACAGCUGCGCCUCUUCUUGCAUGGUCCCUGUGAUGACCUCACUCUUGCUUUGGUGCAGAGAUGGCUCCCCUACUCCCAUCUCUCCAGCAGACAUGGGCUGGCUGCAGGCAGCUGACGGUUUCAGCAGGUUCUAAAAUGGCAGGUGCAGGGCCGUGGCAGGAUACUGCUACUUUGGAUUUGGUGGCCCUUGUGGCCACAGCUCCUGACUAGAAUUAGGACAUGCAUUUGUACCACAUUUUCCACUCUACUUGUUGUUACAGUGGAACAAUGGACAAGUCAAUCACCCUUUUUGGGCUGGCCUCAUCUAUAAUAACCAAUGUUUUUAUAUAUUUCGUACUUCACAGCUUAAAAACAUUUUGUGUCUAAAUCUCACAACAACACUAUAGGUAGAAAUUAUUACCCUCAUUUUAUGGAGGAAAAUGGAAGCUCAGAAGUGAAACAACUUAAGAUCACACAGGAAGCAAGUGACAGGCUUGCACCUAGGUCUCCUGGCUUCUGUGCCCUUUCCACUAGCCCCACUGCAGCCCCGUUCACAGUGAUUCUAGCCCAAGAGUAACCUGGAAAGCUGAGGCUUCUGUGCAUGCAGGGAAUGUGAAGUUGUUCACUGAAAAUUGUGCUGCUACAAAGGUUAUGCCUUAGUAAGCCUGAGGCCAUCGGCACUUACCUCUAAUAGAAUAAUUUACCUCAUUCAUUCAUUUUACAUUUAUUUGAGUGCUAUUUUGUUUCAGGCCCUGGGAAUACAAAAUAAGUGCCACCUCUGUCCUUGGGCACCCAGCCUCCAAUGUUCCUGUCACUUAAACCCCACAGUAACUAAUCAUCAAGUAAGGAAAAUACUGCUACACACGAAGCCCUGAGGAAGCCUGCUGCCCUCUUCCCUUUGGAGGUGUGGGUAAGAAGUUUCCAGCUUGUGUGCAGCAUUAAAAAUCCACCUGAAGGCCAGGCACAGUGGCUCACACCUAUAAUCCCAGCACUUUGGGAGGCCGAGACGGGUGGAUCACCUGAGGUCAGGAGUUCAAGACCAGCCUGGCCAACAUGGUGAAACCCCACCUCUACUAAAAAUACGAAAAUUAGCCGGGCGUGAGUGGCUCGUGCCUGUAAUCCCAGCUACUCGGGAGGCUGAGGCAGAAGAAUCGCUUGAACCCGGGAGGCAGAGGUCGCAGUGAGCCAAGAUUGUGCCACUGCACUCCCACCUUGGUGGCAGAGUGAUACUCCAUCCCCACAAAAUAAAUAAAAUAAAAUAAAAAUAAAAAUCCACCUGAAGACAGGACUUCAGUAGAAUGUGAGACUUACAGUCCAGACUGCCUUCUUCAAUUAAAAAGCAGAACCACGGCCUGGCCAACAUGGUGAAGCUCCGUCUCUACUAAAAUACAAAAAUCAGCCAGGCGUGGUGGCAGGUGCCUGUAAUCCCAGCUACUCAGGAAGCUGAGGCAGGAGAAUCACUUGAACCCGGUUGCAGUGAGCCAAGAUGGCACCACUGCACUCCUGCCUGGGCGACAAAGCAAGACUCCGUCUCAAAAAAAUGAAACAAAUUAAUAAAAAGCAGAAUCAUGGCUGAGUCCCGGAAGUCUUUGGGUUUAGCUUAAGUAUAUGUGAGAUGUUUACAGGGCACUCUGAGCUCUUAAAUGAAAAGUGCUACUUACAGAUAGUUAACACAAUCUACCUUACCAUUGAUGAUAAACAUUCAAGCAGGCUCCUUAAUUCCAAUCGGCUAGCACAUGAGUAUAUAUCUGAACGUACAUACGCAUCUGAAGGCACAGGGGAGACUUUAGCACCAAAGCAGUGAUGACAUCACUGAAGGCCAAAGAGCAAUUAGUAUCUGAGAGUGGUGCCAC